UCCAGGCUCUGACAUACUUCUCCCUCUGUCAGGUAGGGGGCACAGAUUGGAAAUGGGAAAACUGCAAAACAGAGAAAGCAAGAGGAGAGAGUGAAAAAUUCAGGAGAUCCUUGGAGAAGCAAGCACCUCUAGGAGGAAGGCCUCUACUAUCUCCCCCUCUCCCAACAGAGGGGAAAUUGAGGCACAGACAAGGAAAAGGAUGGUGUCUCAAAGAGCAGCGAGGAGAAAAACAUGCGUGAGGUGGGCAGAUGGAGAGAGAUUGGCACUGGACUGGGAAGACGUAACAUCUUCUAGCCAGGAUGACAGGGAAUCUUCUGCACUGUUGAGCAGAUCUGAAGAGGGUGCGGUUAUCAGAUGACCAGGCACCAGAGUUGUACAUUCACAUAGGAUCGGCUGACCAACCACCAACCCAUUCAACCCAGCAGCUGCCUGAUGUCUGUUACUGGAAAUAUUAUAAUGGUGGCAUCAUGCUUGCCAAGCAACUGAAUCAACUUGUCACAUCCAUGGGCCUUGCCUUGUGCUAAGAUGCCAAACACCAGAGGAACCCAGUGUUUUGUUAAAAUAAUCUGAGACCCAGGACAGAACCAACAUUUGGUGCAUUUGUGGUAAUAGUCUUGUAAAAUCUGCAGGGCAGUUAUGCAGGAUCCCUGGCUCAGUGCUGAAAUACAUCUGCCCCUGGAGCAGGGUUCAAGGGGGUGUUUGUACAGGGACCCAUCACCCAGAGCUGAGAUGCAGCCACCUCUGGGGUGGGGCAAAGCAGCUGUUUCAUGCAGUUUUAAGAUGACUAGCUACAGCUAGGGAUCUAGUCGGAGUUUGCGUCUGAUCACCCCAUUUCUAAGGGGGUCGUGGUGGGUGGGGAAAGAGAGGGCCUGGGAAAUCUCUUGGGUAAAGAGAGUGAGAACAGACAGGACUACACAUUGCAGAGAGGAAACAAAGAGGAGGGCAUGCGAUAUAGGCUGCAGACCUGCAAACAACAGAACAGAGACCCCUCCUCCUGCUCCCUACCCCACCUUAGGAUCCUAAACCAUUACUCUGUGAAACUCUACCACAGGAAUCUGAGUAGAUUGACCCUUGUAAACUCCUUAGAGCAGGGACAGCCUUUUUGUCCUAUGUUUGGACAGCACCUGUCGCAGCAGGGACCAAGGCUGCAACUGAUGCUCUCACCCAUCCAGCACCUCCCUACCUUCAAAUCAACUGCUACCAUUGCUUUAAGCUUCACAUUUUCACCUAAUAGCCCUAAUUCAUCAUGUUUUAUCUGCUACCCUGGAAUAACUUUUAUUGUACAAGAAAGAACCUGCAACUCUGAGGUUUUAAACACACAGGGAUCUAACUUCAUGGAAGAGUU